GAUGAAGAACGUAGCAAAAUGCGAUAAGUAUGUGAAUUGCAGAAUUCAGUGAAUCAUCGAAUCUUUGAACGCACAUUGCGCCCGCUGGUAUUCCGGCGGGCAUGCCUGUUCGAGCGUCAUUUCAACCCUCAAGCCCCCGGGUUUGGUGUUGGGGAUCGGCUCUGCCCUUCUGGGCGGUGCCGCCCCCGAAAUACAUUGGCGGUCUCGCUGCAGCCUCCAUUGCGUAGUAGCUAACACCUCGCAACUGGAACGCGGCGCGGCCAUGCCGUAAAACCCCAACUUCUGAAUGUUGACCUCGGAUCAGGUAGGAAUACCCGCUGAACUUAAGCAUAUCAAUAAGCGGAGGA
rnacentral:misc_RNA from 1 species